rnacentral:rRNA from 1 species
UGGGGGAUAUUGCACAAUGGGCGAAAGCCUGAUGCAGCGACGCCGCGUGGGGGAUGAAGGCUUUCGGGUUGUAAACCUCUUUCGCUAUCGAACAAGGCCCGCUUAGGGUGGGUUGAGGGUAGGUGGAGAAGAAGCGCCGGCUAACUACGUGCCAGCAGCCGCGGUAAUACGUAGGGCGCGAGCGUUGUCCGGAAUUAUUGGGCGUAAAGGGCCUGUAGGCGGCUUGUUGCGCCUGCUGUGAAAACGCGGGGCUUAACUUCGCGCGUGCAGUGGGUACGGGCAGGCUUGAGUGUGGUAGGGGUGACUGGAAUUCCAGGUGUAGCGGAGGAAUGCGCAGAUAUCUGGAGGAACACCGAUGGCGAAGGCAGGUCACUGGGCCAUUACUGACGCUGAGGAGCGAAAGCAUGGGUAGCGAACAGG